rnacentral:rRNA from 1 species
GACGUAGGGGGCGAGCGUUGUCCGGAUUCAUUGGGCGUAAAGCGCGCGUAGGCGGCCCGGUAAGUCGGAUGUGAAAUCUCACGGCUCAACCGUGGAACUGCAUUCGAUACUGUCGGGCUAGAGGCAGGUAGGGGAGAUCGGAAUUCCCGGUGUAGCGGUGAAAUGCGCAGAUAUCGGGAGGAACACCGGUGGCGAAGGCGGAUCUCUGGGCCGAUACUGACGCUGAGGCGCGAAAGCGUGGGGAGCAAACAGG